CACAACCAUUUAAAUUAACAACAAAUAAGCCACAUUUUCUUCUGUAAAAAGAAGGAGUUCAGAAUUUCUCCAAGAACACAUAUAAAGCACCGGAUCCCAUGAAAAGGCAGUGUUUGCUCAACUUCUUCAGUCUAGAGGUGGCUAUUUUAACAUUUCCCUGUGGAAAAGAAGGACUGAAUCUAACUACAUAAAUUCUUUAGAACAAUCUGGAAUGUCUGUUCAAAUUACUGCACCAGAACAUUUCUGGAAGAUUCUCACCCAAAAAGAAAAAAAAAAAAAAAGAAAAAAAAAAGCUGAAGAAAACAUGGUCUUCACUCCAGUCCUCUGCCUUGCCAAUCCUACAGCCUGUUCAUUCCCAUCUCAAUGACAUUUUCCAUUUCCUGGAAGUGAUGUCGCUUCUUUCUUGGACUCCUAGAUGGAAGACCCAAAGGCAGUCCUAACUUCUUCAGAAAGCCUUCCUGGAUUUGCUGCUCUCCUCCUUUGGCAAAAUUCCAUUGGGCAAACAGGUGAGCUGACACCACCCGGAGCUGACCACAUGUGGGACCCACCAUGGGAGUAGAAGGCCUGAAGGGAGGAGCGAUGGAUGGAUGUCUAAUACCAGACUCCAGAGACUCCCUAGGCUUAUGAUGAAUGAA